rnacentral:lncRNA from 1 species
CAGGGAACAAUGUUAAGAAGGAUUAGAGAUAAAUCUCCACACUGAUUUUCAUUCAUAGUUUAUGGUACAUAUAUACAGGUGUGAUGACUAUGUUUGUUACAUUCAAAACUGAAUAACAAAUCAUCAAAAACUGAAUAACAAUUCAAUAGAGUUGGUUGAGAUAUUUUUUCAAAACAGGUAGAAUAGGUUUGUCCUUAUCCAUUAUCUUUAACACCCUCCUGCAAGCUGAUUGGCAUAGGAAUGACGGUAAGCUUGGAACGUAGCAUUUUGAACUUUGGUGAAGAUAUGCCUUUAGUCAUGACAUCUGCAAUUUGAGAUUCACUCGGGAUGAAGAGAACUCGUAAUUUUCGUUGGCGAACCAUGUCACGAACAAAGUGAACAUCAAUCUCAAUAUGUUUGGUACGACAAUGAAAGACUGGAUUAGCAGUUAAAUAGGUCGCACUAAUAUUGUCGCAAUAUAGUACCGGAGAAUUGUUGGAGGAUAUUUCUAAAUCUGAUAGAAGAUAUUGAAGCCAUUGGAUUUCAGCCGCAGCAUUUGCAAUACCACGAUAUUCAGCUUCCGUGCUUGAUCGUGAAACAGUUUUCUGUUUCUUAGCAGACCAUGAUACAAGAUUAGAGCCAAUAUAUAUAGCAUAACCAGAUGUCGAGCGACGAUCAUCAGGACAACCUGCCCAGUCAGCAUCUGAAUAACAAGAGAUAUCGAAGGAAUAAUUCUUCGUAAUGUGAAUUCCAUAAUCAAGAGUGCCUUUUAGGUAGCGCAAAAUUCUUUUGACAGUAUUAAAAUGCGAAGUGCGAGGUGCAUGCAUGAAUUGACACACCUGAUUGACUGCAUAAGUAAGGUCAGGUCGCGUAAAGGUUAAAUAUUGUAAGCCUCCAACUAUACGUCUAUAUUCAGUAGCAUCAGGUAGUAGAUCACCAUCAAAUAGAGAUAAUUUCGAUCCAGGAGCAAUUGGAGAGGAAAUUGGUUUACAUCCAUCCAUAUGGCAUUUACGGAGCAGACUAAGAGAAUAUUUUGUUUGAUUCAAAAAUAACCCCUUACGGUCCAACAUGGCAUGUAUUCCAAGGAAGUAAUUCAAGGUUCCUAAAUUUUUCAUAUCAAAGCGAACUUGUAAAUCUGUAAGAAGAUUGGCCAAUAAUGUCGCAUUACUUCCGGUGACAAUAAUAUCAUCCACGUAAACAAGUAAUAUGAGAAUGCCUGAAUUCAAUUUCUUAAUAAAUAAAGAGGAAUCUGCAGUGCUAGAAUGAAAACCCAAGUGAAGGAGAUAGCCGCUGAAGCUUUGAAACCAAGCUCGUGGAGCUUGCUUAAGACCAUAUAUUGCUUUGCGCAACCGACAUACGUGUGAAGGGUAUAAGGGAUCAACAAAUCCUGGAGGUUGUAACAUAUAUACCUCCUCAUUUAAUGUGCCAUGCAAAAAGGCAUUUUUAACAUCUAAUUGCAUAAUUGGCCAUUCUUUGGAGAGUGCAAGCGAAAGGACGAUACGAAUAGUUUGCAGUUUAACUACUAGACUAAAUGUAUCAUCGUAAUCAAGUCCUUCUUGUUGAUGAAAUCCUUUAGCAACCAAACGAGCUUUGAAGCGUUCAACACUGCCAUCAGAUUUUUGUUUAACCUUAUACACCCACUUGCAACCAAUAAUAUUGCAAUUUGACGGUGGAGGAACAAGUGACCAUGUCUGAUUCUUGAGUAAAGCAUUGAAUUCUUCUGCCAUAGCAUGGCGCCAUUGAGGAUCUUUAGAGGCUUCAGAAUAUGAUGUAGGUUCAGAAGGAAGCUCAUCAUUAGUAAUUUGCAAGCAAUAUUGGGGCACUGGGUGUCGAGAGGUAUGAAAAACCUUUGGUUUGCGUGUACCAUCUUUGCUGCAUGUUAUCAUGGGAUGACAUGUUCUUGUGGAGGUGUCAACAGGAUUUGUAGAAGGGACAGAUUCAACAUCUAAACUUGUGGGCUCUGGUAGAUUGGAUUGGGGAAGGCUUAUAGAAUCAAGAAUAGUAUCGGAUGGUUGAAUGUUUUGUGGAGAAGAAGUUAAUAGAGAUGGUGGACAAAUAGGAAAUGAGUACCUCUGUUGUUUGGGAAUGGAAUCAGGUGAUGUAGAAAUGGAUUUGGAAGACAACUCUGCAUAGGGAAAUCGUGACUCAUCAAAAUGAACAUGACGGGAUAUAAAGACGCGUCCAUCGGAUAAACUUAAGCAUCUAUAACCUUUAUGAUGAGGACUAUAUCCUAUGAAAACACAACAAGUAGACCUCGGAGUAAAUUUAUUCAAAGAAUAGCUGCGUAAAUAAGGAUAGCAAGCACAUCCAAAAACACGUAGGUGAUGAUAAUUUGGAGAAGUACAAAAUAGAGUUUCAAGAGGGGAUAGGUUUUGUAAGCAAGGUGUAGGUAAUCGAUUUAUUAGAUACACACUUGUUAAAAGGGCAUCAACCCAUAAAGUAGAUGGCGCUUGGGACUGAUAUAGAAGUGUCAAACCCAUUUCAGUUAUAUGGCGAUGUUUUCUUUCGGAAACACCGUUUUGUUCAGGCGUAUGGGGGCAUGAGAGUUGGCGAAUAAUUCCGCAAUUUUCAAGGUGUGUAACAAAUGUUUUAGAAAUAUACUCGCCACCACCAUCACUUUGCAAAAUUUUAAUUUUGGUGUUAAAUUGAUUUUCUACCAUUUUUUGAAAUUUAAGAAAGCAUGAAAAAACUUCAGAUUUAUUAUGCAUAGGAUAAAACCAAACAAAUCUACUAUAGCUAUCAAUGAAAAUUACAUAAAAUCGAUAGCCAGUGAUUGAAGGAACAGGAGAUGGACCCCAAACAUCAGUAGAAAUAAUUUCAAGAGGAGCAGAGGCCCUUUUAUUUAAAACUGGAAAAGGCAACUUAGUUUGCUUACUAGAAUAGCAACUAUCACAUAAAGAUUUGGAAUCGAACAUACUAGAGAAUUUUAUUGCAGCAUUCUUGUUUAAAUGAUUUGCCACUUGUUGUGAAGGAUGGCCCAGUCGUUGAUGCCAAAUAUUUGGAGAAGCCCUCUUUGUAGAAAGAAAAAUAGCUUUUGGAGAAUUGAGAGAAUAAAGACCAUUAUGAUGAGAUUCCUGUAGCAGAGUCAUUUUGUUUUCCUGAUCCUUAACAAAACAAGCAGAGGGGGUGAACUCAAGAGAACAAUUAUUUUCGCGAGUAAACUUGCUAACAGAGAGAAGGUUCUUUUUAAUAGAUGGUACUAGAUAAAUAUUUUUGAGGUGCAAAGGUGUAGAAGAGGUUGGAAGUUGAGAAUGGCCAAUGUGGGUAAUUUUUAAUUGUCGAAGAGCUCAUAUUGUAGUAGAGAGAAAAUGAAAUCUGGGUGUGAUGAAACAAUACUAGGCACUCUUAAUAGGUUAGAGAAGUGGAUAUGGCUCUGAUACCAUGAUAAGAAGGAUUAGAGAUAAAUCUCCACACUAAUUUUCAUUCAUAGUUUAUGGUACAUAUAUACAGGUGUGAUGACUAUGUUUGUUACAUUCAAAACUGAAUAACAAAUCAUCAAAAACUGAAUAACAAUUCAAUGGAGUUGGUUGAGAUAUUUUCUCAAAAUAAGUUUGUCCUUAUCCAUUAUCUUUAACACUAUCAUCAUGCUUCUGUACAAAUGAAAGCACUAAACAUAGGGAUACAUGUGUCACUAUGCCUCAAAUGAAAUAAGUGAUAACAAACAAUAAACUAAGACUAAUAAGUUGAGUUGGAUGAGUCUAAUAAGUUGAAUGGAUGUGUGGUCUACAAGAGACCUAACAGCAAGAGGCCCAACAAUAAACCCAAUAUUUCAGGUGGGUUGAAUCAGAUCGAAGCCCUGAAACUCACGAGCGCUGUGGUUGAGCUAGCCCUUAAGUGUGAUGGAUGCGUCAUUCCUAUCAGCACGUGUUUUUAGGAUAAUUAGUUAGCGCUUCAAGUAU